rnacentral:rRNA from 1 species
UGGGGUAAUGGCCUACCAAGCCUACGAUCUAUAGCUGGUUUGAGAGGAUGAUCAGCAACACUGGGACUGAGACACGGCCCAGACUUCUACGGAAGGCAGCAGUAGGGAAUCUUGGACAAUGGGCGAAAGCCUGAUCCAGCCAUGCCGCGUGAGUGAUGAAGGCCCUAGGGUUGUAAAACUCUUUCGCCAGGGAAGAUAAUGACGGUACCUGGUAAAGAAACCCCGGC